ensembl:lncRNA
CAUCAGCCAGCAGGUGCAGUAAUGCUUUUGCCAAAGGGAGAAGGGCUUGGGUCCUGAAAGUAAAUCUGAUUUAGACUUCCUGAGACUCGGGGUGCCAGGGGAGUAGAAAGAAGGGUGCUGGUCCUGUCCUAUGUGGCUUCUCUGGGAAGAUAAACUGGGCUGGGCUGGUUCCGCCUGCUGGAGUUCCUGGGAAAGAAUGAGGCGUCUUGUGUGCUCCACAUCUGCAGCCUGUCGUUCCUGGGGAGUCCUUGCUGUGUGUGUGGAGUCUCAGCCAUGGCCACCUGCUCCAGUCUUGUGUGCUUCUUUGCCAGCCACGUCAGACUCAUGAGCUCCCCCAGCUGCUGAGCUGGAAGCAAACAUACUUGGCUGGGUCGUCUUCCCGGCACGCAGACAGCAGCCUUUCUGACCCUGCGUGGAGAAGCCCUCGUCACCAGGCUUAUCAGACAGUUUACUGUCAUCUGCUCCCUUCACCUAUGCCUUGCCUGUCCCACUGCAUGCAGGAGACUCAGUCUCUGGCCCCAAGUAGGGCAGGGACUCAGCAAGGAGGCUCCAAAAGAGGAGGAGAAACCCUGGAGUGUCACAGGAGGCUGUGCCUCAGCCAAUAAGCCAGUAGCCAAAGCAGGUAGAUGAGAAGACACCGCAAUGAACACUCCUAAGGAAAAGCAGGGGCUUUGAAUGCAAAUGUCCCCGCUGGGCAACCUCUGCUGCCCAUGUGAGGACAGGACAAUCUCCUGGCCUGCCCAACACUCACCAGCUGAGGAUCACUGGUGGGCUCUAGUCAAUUUCCUAAAGAUCAGACCACUGAAUGCCAGUUUGCCAGAUUCUCUGAGCUGUUGGGGGUUUUCUCCAACCUUCUAUUUUUGUGUCUCCUCAGUCAUUUCCAAUGCCAAAGGUCAGACUUCCCUCUAUUGCUCUCCCUACUCCGGCUCCAAAGGCUGCCACACAAAUACCCCAAACUGGGACAUCAGAGCCAGUCCACAGCUGGGGACCGAGGCACUGCAAGGGGCAAGACUCAGAGUGGAGCUGGCAUGGAACCAGGCAACUAAGUGUUUUAACUAAAACAUAGAAAACUACUCAGUGCUUGCUAAGGGAGCCGUUACCGGGGUUUGCAGUAGCAGGUGAAGCAUUCUUUUUCCCUCACAUGUCUGUGUAUUGCUGUAAUUAUUCACCAUGAUCUCCUUCUAUGAUGAGCAAGUAAAAAUAUCAAAACCAAGCAGUGAUACAAGGGGUGGCUCACUCUGAGAGCACUGUAAUUACUCCACAAUCCCUAAGAAGCACCAAUGUUGAGAUCGGCAUUCCAGCCAUAGUCUGUGUGUGUGUCCCCUACAUGAUUGUGUCUCCUUCACACAUCACCUCUGAUCACCAAGCUGAAGUGCAUCUCAUUUCACAUGCCGAGACAUCUCUCCUUGCCCCGAGAACCCUCCUCUCUGUUUCUAUCUCUCAUUCGUUUUACAAAAGGCUCAGGGGUGAAAUGCAAUAAAAACAGUCGUUCAAAAUCUGCUUUUUGAGAGCAAGCAGCUCAGCCCUGGAAUGCAGGCUUUGCUAGUGGUUGAGCAGCUACCAUGAAAGCAGAGUUGGCGCCCUGGACUCCCCACGCAUAGUAGGUCCAUGGGCGCCUGGUCAUACUCUGCUUGAUGGCACUUUCUUAUGUCCU